GGCAUGUGAUUAGCUCAGGCGAGGCCAGGGGGAGAUAAUGGAGAAAAGGAAAGGGGUUGAAGUGGGAGUUGGUAACGCUUCACUGAGGAGGCCUAGGCAGGAUAGAGGCCUGGAAAGUUCUAGCUGGCUUGAGGAAGUAGCUGCAGGAGGCUCCAACAUUAAGAGACUGUUCCCCACAUGCAAUAUCUUGCAAAGUUCUACAGAGAAUACAUGCAGAUGGUAGUAUAGAGAAAUCUGUCUUUGGGAAUAUGUCCUUGGAGAUCCCAGGAUCUGAAGAACUUGGGGGUUGGACUACCUGCUUCUUCCAUUGUGUAGAAUGGGAAACCAACCCUUCCCCCUCAAUGGAUCAAUUUGGAGGAAACGCCACAAGGUUUUCUUUUCCUCAGAAGGCAGAUGGCUAAAGGAAAUGCAGAAGCUAUGAGCUGGAGUCUCAUUUCCUUUUGUAUGAUACUCCUGGAUGGCUUGCAGUCACUGCAGAUUUUAAACAGCCAAAGUCCUCCACAAAGAACAAAAUUAUGUUCAAAAUCCUGCAGCCCUUACUUCUAUGAGAGGUCUUUUACCGUCUUUACUCCUACAAGUAGUCUUGUUGCAACUUAUUGAACUACUGGGGAAGGAAGGGCUAUUUGAGUGAAUAAGGCUGCAGGAUCAGGCCCUAAAUAAGAAGUAACCCAGAAAAGGCUUAAUUCUUUAGCAGUCAAUCAGAUUGUCACAAUGAAUGAUGUUUUUAAGGUCAUUUUCUGAAGUGCACUCCAGGUACAUUAUGCACCCAAGUGCUGUUUGGCCCAAUAAAACACCUAGCUUCAACUCGGGUCAAAGUUCUUGACAAUCAAUCAACUAUCCUUUUUCCAGUUUCUUAUUGUUCAAACAGUAUAACUGAUUUAUAUGGAAAGUAUAUAUUAAGAGGUUGGGUCUUGUCUCCACACAAACUUACACCACUUCAACUAAAGUUGUGAUUUUUUUUUAUGUAGAUAAUUUUUCUAAUUCAGUUUGAGUUACUUAUUUCAA